GAAUUGCUAGGACCAGCACUCAUCAGAUUGGAAGUAGGGUGGCAUGGAGCAGAAAUUAUGCGGCGAAAGAGAUCAAGUUUGGCGUUGAUGCUCGUGCUUUGAUGCUUAAGGGUGUUGAAGAGCUUGCUGAGGCAGUUAAAGUAACCAUGGGUCCCAAGGGACGUAAUGUUGUGAUUGAGCAAAGUUUUGGUGCCCCUAAAGUGACUAAAGACGGAGUCACUGUUGCUAAGAGCAUUGAGUUCAAGGAUAAAGUCAAGAAUAUUGGUGCCAGUCUUGUAAAGCAGGUUGCAAAUGCUACCAAUGAUGUUGCUGGUGAUG